rnacentral:rRNA from 1 species
AUGGCCUCGCCUACGACGCCGACGAAGUCCACCGGCGCCCAGGAGGAAGCCGCGGCCCGCCAGUCGCUCAUCGGGAUCUCCCAGUCCAUCCCGGCGGCGGGAGAGGCCCUGAGCGUCAAGUCGCCGAACGGCCGCACGGAACACGGGCAGGACGACAGCGGGGCGGCCGACAAGUCCAGGUCGAUGCUCAUGUCCAUCUCCAACCAGUCGCCGGAGGCGCGCCAGCCCACGCCGUGCCCGCACAGCAAUGCCGCUUAG